rnacentral:rRNA from 1 species
GACGGAGGGUGCUAGCGUUGUUCGGAAUUACUGGGCGUAAAGGGCGCGUAGGCGGCCCGCUCAGUCGGACGUGAAAGCCCGGGGCUCAACCCCGGAACGGCGUCCGAGACGGGCGGGCUCGAGACCGGGAGAGGAGGGUGGAAUAGCCAGUGUAGAGGUGAAAUUCGUAGAUAUUGGCUGGAACACCGGUGGCGAAAGCGGCUCUCUGGCCCGGGUCUGACGCUGAGGCGCGAAAGCGUGGGGAGCAAACAGGAUUAGAUACCCCAGUAGUCC